AGCAGCCGCGGUAAUUCCAGCUCCAAUAGCGUAUAUUAAAGUUGUUGCAGUUAAAAAGCUCGUAGUUGAAUUUCGGGGUCGGUAGGUUGGUUAUGCCUCUGGUAUGCACUGGUCUCACUGAUUCCUCCUUCCUGAUGAGCCGUAAUGCCAUUAAUUUGGUGUUGCGAGGAAUCUGGACUGUUACUUUGAAAAAAUUAGAGUGUUUAAAGCAAGCUGACGCUUGAAUACAUUAGCAUGGAAUAAUGGAAUAGGACGUUCGAUCCUAUUUUGUUGGUUUCUAGGAUUGACGUAAUGAUUAAUAGGGAUAGUUGGGGGCAUUAGUAUUCAAUUGUCAGAGGUGAAAUUCUUGGAUUUAUUGAAGACUAACUACUGCGAAAGCAUUUGCCAAGGAUGUUUUCAUUAAUCAAGAACGAAAGUUAGGGGAUCGAAGACGAUCAGAUACCGUCGUAGUCUUAACCAUAAACUAUGCCGACUAGGGAUCGGAUGAUGUUAAUUUUUUAAUGACUCAUUC
rnacentral:rRNA from 1 species